UACGGAGGGAGCUAGCGUUGUUCGGAAUUACUGGGCGUAAAGCGCACGUAGGCGGCGAUUCAAGUCAGAGGUGAAAGCCCGGGGCUCAACCCCGGAACUGCCUUUGAAACUAGAUUGCUAGAAUCUUGGAGAGGUCAGUGGAAUUCCGAGUGUAGAGGUGAAAUUCGUAGAUAUUCGGAGGAACACCAGUGGCGAAGGCGGCUCACUGGUCCAUUACUGACGCUGAGGUGCGAAAGCGUGGGGAGCAAACAGG
rnacentral:rRNA from 1 species